rnacentral:rRNA from 1 species
GACGGAGGGUGCGAGCGUUGUUCGGAUUGACUGGGCGUAAAGGGCGUGUAGGUGGUCGUCCAAGUCUGGUGUGAAAGCCCGGGGCUUAGCUCCGGAAGUGCGCCGGAAACUAGCUGGCUGGAGCGCGGUAGAGGAGGGUGGAAUUCCUGGUGUAGCGGUGAAAUGCGUAGAUAUCAGGAGGAACACCGGCGGCGAAGGCGGCCCUCUGGACCGUUGCUGACGCUGAGACGCGAAAGCGUGGGGAGCAAACAGG